rnacentral:rRNA from 1 species
UACAGAGGGUGCUAGCGUUGUUCGGAAUUAUUGGGCGUAAAGCGCGCGCAGGUGGUUUCUUAAGUCUGAUGUGAAAGCCCACGGCUCAACCGUGGAGGGUCAUUGGAAACUGGGGAACUUGAGUGCAGGAGAGAAGAGUGGAAUUCCACGUGUAGCGGUGAAAUGCGUAGAGAUGUGGAGGAACACCAGUGGCGAAGGCGACUCUUUGGCCUGUAACUGACACUGAGGCGCGAAAGCGUGGGGAGCAAACAGG